rnacentral:rRNA from 1 species
AACGUAGGAGGCGAGCGUUAUCCGGAUUUACUGGGCGUAAAGCGUGUGCAGGCGGUUUGGUUAGUUGGAUGUGAAAGCUCCUGGCUUAACUGGGAGAGGUCGUUCAAUACUGCCAGACUUGAGGAUGGGAGAGGAAGGUGGAAUUCCGAGUGUAGUGGUGAAAUGCGUAGAUAUUCGGAGGAACACCAGUGGCGAAAGCGGCCUUCUGGCCCAUCUCUGACGCUCAUACACGAAAGCUAGGGUAGCAAACGGG